rnacentral:rRNA from 1 species
UACGGGGGGGGCAAGCGUUGUUCGGAAUUACUGGGCGUAAAGGGCUCGUAGGUGGCCAACUAAGUCGGACGUGAAAUCCCUCAGCUUAACUGGGGAACUGCGUCCGAUACUGGAUGGCUUGAGUUUGGGAGAGGGUUGCGGAAUUCCAGGUGUAGCGGUGAAAUGCGUAGAUAUCUGGAGGAACACCGGUGGCGAAGGCGGCAUCCUGGACCAACACUGACACUGAGGAGCGAAAGCCAGGGGAGCAAACGGG